AAAGCCAAAUAAAUACAAAGUUGAAGAGCAUUGAGGACCCAAAAUUCCAAAAAGUUGUGCCAAAUACGGCUACGGUAAUCUACUCCUGGGGUAAGAAAAUCCUUAUUUUUCGAAAAAUUCAAAGUUUUGUAAACAGAAAAUUUAUAAAAAUGACCAUAUAAUUGAUAUUCAUGACAACACCGAAGUGCUGACUACUGGGCUGGUGAUACCCUCGGGGACGAAACGUCCACCAGCAGUGGCAUCGACCCAGUAAUGUAAAUAGUUAUCAAAAGUACCAGGAUUAUAAUU
rnacentral:lncRNA from 1 species